UCACUUAACACAGAGACCAGGAAAAGACUCUUAAAGGAGGCCUUUGAGCAGAUGAAUGAAUGACGACAGAGUCACCUGUGCAAGAUAUGAAGGAACGGUGAUAUUCCAUACAGAAGGCACAGCAAGUACAAAUGCCCUAAGAUGGGAAUGAGCUUGGCAUAUAUUAGGAACAGAAAGAAACCCAUGCUACUGGAGCUUACUGAAUGAGCAGGAAAGACAUAUAAGAAAAGUUGAAGACGUAGAUAGGAGUCAGAUUAUACUGGUAGAUAGGAGUCAGAUUAUACUGGGCUUUCGGGUAAUGAUGGGAAAAUCUGAUUUGUUUCUCUUCAAUAUUGGAAUUCUCUGGCGAUUUGGGAAUAGUUGUUGAAACAGUAAAAAAUAAAAUCAUCUAACAAUUUUACCUACAUACAUAUCAUGAGAUACCAUAAAAUGCUUGGCUGAAAUCAAGAUACUCAUUUUAAAAGCUGCGUAAUAAAUGAUUUCUUAAUAAAAGGAUUCAUUUUUACACUCUUAGCCAAAGGCCAGAAUUAUUGCAAACAGAGACAAACUUGUAACAGUGAGAUGGUCCUGAAAGAGGGCCUCCCUACACUUGUUUAAUAAUGAGACAGGGACUCAAGUAAGAAGUUAACCUGAAGCCUGAGAACGGGAUUCUAAUAGAGUGGAGAGAGGCCUGGUAUAGGAGUCAGAGACCUCAGUUUGACAUUACUAAAUUUCCUUUUGCCUGCCUCAGUUUUCCCACCUGUGAGGUAACACUUCCUGGCUAUGUAUCUCACAACAUUUUUCAGAAAAUCAAAUGAGGUAAUGCAUGUGAUGGUUAUUUGCAUACUGCAUAGUAUUAACAUGUGUACAGUAUUAUUAUUUUUGAAUAAAACUACAGGAAGAAUAUUGUGUGAGGGAGAAUGUAGAACUAUUAAAUAACACAUCAGUAAAUAUGUGUUGAAAGCUUCCUGUACUUCGUAUGUUCAGCCCUGUAAUAAUAAGCCAAUGUGAUAAAUAUUUAUUUAGUAUCUAUUAUUUUGAAGGCCUGGUGAUACAUACAGCAAGUGAUACAGCAGCAAGUAAGACAGCAGGAAACCAGAAUUCCCAGUGGUCACACUUUGGAGGUAUCUUCAUUGGACUGGAGAGGCACUAUGGAGGAGUUAAAGCAUACAGCAAAUGGAACUGAAUUGCCUGAGCUUGAAGCCUGGUUUCACUGCUCUCUAGCUGUAUAACUGGGCUAGUUACUUAGCCUGUUUGUAUCCCAGUUUCCACCGAGGCUGAAUUGAAUGAAUAUAGGUGAAUGGUGUGGAACAGUGUCCAGCACAUAGUGAGCACUUGUGACCUGCCGCUUCUCCAUCAACAGGUGGUGUCCCCUCACCUUGAAUCUGCGUGGGCUUUUCACACCUUUGUUCAAUACAGCAUGGUGGAAGUAACUCUAUGAGUUACAACACAACAUUCAGCUUCUAUCUGGUCUACCAGAACACAUGCAUUUGGAGCCCUGAGGCCACCAUGCUUGUGAGGAGGCUGAGCCACAUGGGGAGGCCACAUGGAGGUGCUCUGGUCAGCAGCCCUACUCUACAAGCCACCUUUUUAUCCCAGGUGGCAGAAGUGUGACAAAGAGGCACUCAAGUGACUUUCUGUUGCCAUGACAGGAGCAAUUAUCAGAUCCUUGGGAAUGAAGGUAAG
rnacentral:lncRNA from 1 species